UACGGAGGGUGCAAGCGUUAUCCGGAUUCACUGGGUUUAAAGGGUGCGUAGGUGGGCAGGUAAGUCAGUGGUGAAAUCUCCGGGCUUAACCCGGAAACUGCCAUUGAUACUAUCUGUCUUGAAUACCGUGGAGGUGAGCGGAAUAUGUCAUGUAGCGGUGAAAUGCUUAGAUAUGACAUAGAACACCAAUUGCGAAGGCAGCUCACUACGCGAAUAUUGACACUGAGGCACGAAAGCGUGGGGAUCAAACGGG
rnacentral:rRNA from 1 species